AAAACUCUCCAUUUCAAAUGAAUUGAAAAAUCUACAUUUUAUGAUCUAAAUUUAAAAUAUGUUUAUAUAUAUAUAUAAAACUAAAGACUCCAUUUCAUCCCCAUUUCGUAGUAUUACUUACUGUAGUAGUGGAUCACAUUUCAUCUUUCUUUUCUCGUAAACACCUUUAAUUUGUUAAUAUCAAAUUUUAAUAGUAUCCAUUACAUGCAAGUCGAUCGGUCUCUAUUAGAGAUCCAUCAACCUACUAACAAAAACAAACACUUUAACAAAAAAGAAAAAGGAUUACAACUUUAAUGCAGCAAAACAUCAAAUAUGGCAAGCAGUGACUCCAAGUGAUUUAGUUUACCGUCCACCACCACCGCUGCCGCUGCCAGACCCGGUACCAACUCCAUGGCCAGCACCACCUCCAACNNN
rnacentral:lncRNA from 1 species